rnacentral:rRNA from 1 species
GAUGAACGCUGGCGGUAUGCUUAACACAUGCAAGUCGAACGGACUCUUCGGAGUUAGUGGCGGACGGGUGAGUAACGCGUGAGAAUCUGGCUUUGGGUUCGGGACAACCACUGGAAACGGUGGCUAAUACCGGAUGUGCCGAGAGGUAAAAGAGAAAUUGCCUGAAGAUGAGCUCGCGUCUGAUUAGCUAGUUGGUGAGGUAAAGGCUCACCAAGGCAGCGAUCAGUAGCUGGUCUGAGAGGAUGACCAGCCGCACUGGGACUGAGACACGGCCCAGACUCCUACGGGAGGCAGCAGUGGGGAAUUUUCCGCAAUGGGCGAAAGCCUGACGGAGCAAUACCGCGUGAGGGAAGAAGGCUCUUGGGUUGUAAACCUCUUUUCUUAGGGAAGAACAAAAUGACGGUACCUAAGGAAUCAGCAUCGGCUAACUCCGUG